CGACUCAAUCGUAGAAAGGGAGUGGAUACUGCAAUUCUGGAAGUAUCUGGGGGUUAGUGGAAUUUCCGGUGGAGCGGUGAAAUGCGUUGAUAUCGGAAGGAACGCCGAAAGCGAAAGCAGCUAACUACAGAAUACUUGACGAUGAGGGACGACAGUUCGGGUAGCAAACAGGAUUAGAUACCCUGGUAGUCCGAACCGUAAAUUAUGCUUGCUAGAUGUUUUUGUCAAUUUAUUGGCAGGAGUGUCGUAAUCUAACGAGUUAAGCAAGUCGCCUGGGUAGUAUAUUCGCAAGAAUGAAACUCAAAGGGAUAGGCGGGGGAACACACAAGCAGUGGAUUAUCUAGAUUAAUUGGAUAAUAAGCCAAGAAUCUUACCUAGGAUUGACAUGUAUUGUGUCUGCGGUGAAAGUCGCAUAUCCGUAGCAAUACGGAGCUUUACACAGAUGGUGCAUGGUCGUCGUCAGCUCGUGCCGCAAGGUGUCUAGUUAAGUCUGGAAACGAGCGCAACCCUCAUGCUUAGUUAGUAUGUCUAAGCAGACUGCUCGGGUAACCGAGAGGAAGGAGAGGAUGACGUCAGAUCCUCAUGCCUCUUACACCUAGGGCCUCAUAGAUAAUACAAUGGGUAGGUACAGCGAGAAGCAAGACCGCGAGGUGGAGCAAAUCUUUAAAACUACCCCUAGUUCGGAUUGUAGUCUGGAACUCGACUACAUGAAGUUGGAAUUGCUAGUAAUGGCAGAUCAGCCAUGCUGCCGUGAAUAUGUCCCUGUUCCUUGCACUCACCGCCCGUCAAACCAUGGGAGCUGAGGUUCUUUGAAGACUCAUUAUAUGGGUUAAGGAGGAAAUCAGUGACUGGGGUUAAGUCGUAACAAGG
rnacentral:rRNA from 1 species